rnacentral:rRNA from 1 species
UACGGAGGGUGCAAGCGUUAAUCGGAAUUACUGGGCGUAAAGCGCACGCAGGUGGCUGAGUCAGUCGAUUGUGAAAGCCCUGGGCUUAACCUGGGAAUUGCAGUCGAUACUACUCAGCUAGAGUAUGGGAGAGGGUAGUGGAAUUCCCGGUGUAGCGGUGAAAUGCGCAGAUAUCAGGAGGAACACCGAUGGCGAAGGCAGGUCUCUGGGCAUUAACUGACGCUGAGGAGCGAAAGCAUGGGGAGCGAACAGG